rnacentral:rRNA from 1 species
UACAGAGGGUGCGAGCGUUAAUCGGAAUUACUGGGCGUAAAGCGUGCGUAGACGGUCAAGUAAGUCGGGUGUGAAAGCCCCGGGCUCAACCUGGGAAUUGCAUUCGAGACUGCGUGGCUAGGGUGCGGAAGAGGGAAGCGGAAUUUCCGGUGUAGCGGUGAAAUGCGUAGAGAUCGGGAGGAACACCGGUGGCGAAGGCGGGUCUCUGGGCAUCUCCUGACGCUGAGGCGCGAAAGCGUGGGGAGCAAACGGG